rnacentral:rRNA from 1 species
UACGAAGGAUGCGAGCGUUAUCCGGAUUUAUUGGGUUUAAAGGGUGCGUAGGCGGCUUUAUAAGUCAGUGGUGAAAUCCUAUCGCUUAACGAUAGACGUGCCAUUGAUACUGUAGAGCUUGAGUACAGAUGCCGUUGGCGGAAUGUGUCAUGUAGCGGUGAAAUGCAUAGAUAUGACACAGAACACCGAUUGCGAAGGCAGCUGACGAAACUGUAACUGACGCUGAUGCACGAAAGCGUGGGGAUCGAAACAGG